rnacentral:lncRNA from 10 species
UCACCCUAUACACGAAUACAGCCAGCCAAUAAGAUUCUGUUGUAGCAUUAUAAAUGCAUCAAUCAGUUCUGAAAUGGUUAAAGAAUUAUGAGCAUCAAAAGAAAGUCCUGAAUGAUUUCAAAUCAUAAAAUAAAUAGAAAAUCCCUACUAUCCCGUUUUUAUAGGCAGAUUUUAAUCUUCGUAUCAGCAGGCUUAUUUUCAGGCCUUUUUUCUACUGUCCUUCCUAAAUAUAACAGAACACCUUUAACCUAAUGACAUCACCUGCCCAGUCAACUGCAAUAAGAGUAAGAGCGAGCCUUUACUGAGGGCGUGCUGUAUGCCAGGCACUGUUCUAAGUGGUUUGCAUUCAUUAAAUCAGUCAGGUGAUUUUGCCCACACAACCACCCCAUGAGGCAGGUGCUCUUUUUACCAAGAAUCUAAGGCAUAGAGAGAGAAAGUAACUUGGAAAACGAUUUCAUUUGUGGCUUUCUUCCCACAGUAGCUCAUUAGUUAUUUCCAAUUCUCUUGUGUUUGACAGUGUUGGCCACUCCCCUUUUCACAAAACAAUCAUGUCAUUAUUUGUUUCUUGUUUCUCUCCUGGUGUCCAUCCUCCUCAGUAUCUUCCCUCUUCAGCCCAUUCCUCAUGGGUGCCCCUCGGUUUUGUUUUAUGCUCCUUUUUCAGGCUGUAUUCAACACGAGUAAACUCAUCUAAUCCCAUGGC